rnacentral:rRNA from 1 species
UACGUAGGGGGGCAAGCGUUGUCCGGAAUUAUUGGGCGUAAAGAGCGUGUAGGCGGCUCGGUAAGUCACUGUGAAAGUCAGGGGCUCAACCCUUGAAUGCCGGUUGAUACUGUCGGGCUAGAGUGCGGAAGAGGCGAGUGGAAUUCCUGGUGUAGCGGUGAAAUGCGCAGAUAUCAGGAGGAACACCAAUUGCGAAGGCAGCUCGCUGGGACGUUACUGACGCUGGAGACGCGAAAGCGUGGGGAGCAAACAGG